rnacentral:misc_RNA from 1 species
GAUGAAGAACGCAGCGAAAUGCGAUAAGUAAUGUGAAUUGCAGAAUUCAGUGAAUCAUCGAAUCUUUGAACGCACCUUGCGCUCCUUGGUAUUCCGAGGAGCAUGCCUGUUUGAGUGUCAUGAAUCUCUCAAACUCUUAGUUUCAUUACUGAGUGUUUGGAUUCGGAGGUCUAUGCUGGCGCAAGUCAGCUCCUCUUAAAUACAUUAGCUUGGGUCUUGCAUGUCUGGAUCCUUGGUGUGAUAAUUAUCUACGCCAUGAUGUCCCUUCAAGCCCUGCUUCUAAUCGUCUGAAUAAGACAAUUUAUUACUUGACAUCUGACCUCAAAGCAGGUAGGACUACCCGCUGAACUUAAGCAUAUCAAUAAGCGGAGGA